GACGAACGCUGGCGGCGUGCUUAACACAUGCAAGUCGAACGGAAAGGCCCUGCUUUUGUGGGGUGCUCGAGUGGCGAACGGGUGAGUAACACGUGAGUAACCUGCCCUUGACUUUGGGAUAACUUCAGGAAACUGGGGCUAAUACCGGAUAGGAGCUACUGCUGCAUGGUGGGGGUUGGAAAGUUUCGGCGGUUGGGGAUGGACUCGCGGCUUAUCAGCUGGUUGGUGGGGUAGUGGCUUACCAAGGCUGUGACGGGUAGCCGGCCUGAGAGGGGGACCGGCCACAUUGGGACUGAGAUACGGCCCAGACUCCUACGGGAGGCAGCAGUGGGGAAUAUUGCACAAUGGGCGGAAGCCUGAUGCAGCAACGCCGCGUGCGGGAUGACGGCCUUCGGGUGGUAAACCGCUUUCGCCUGUGACGAAGCGUGAGUGACGGUAAUGGGUAAAGAAGCACCGGCUAACUACGUG
rnacentral:rRNA from 1 species